rnacentral:rRNA from 1 species
UACGGGGGGAGCAAGCGUUGUUCGGAUUUACUGGGCGUAAAGGGCGCGUAGGCGGCCACCGCAAGUCGGUUGUGAAAUCUCUGGGCUUAACCCAGAAAGGUCAACCGAUACUGCGGGGCUAGAGUGCAGAAGGGGCAACUGGAAUUCUCGGUGUAGCGGUGAAAUGCGUAGAUAUCUGGAGGAACACCGGUGGCGAAAGCGGCUCACUGGACCGUCUCUGACGCUGAGGUGCGAAAGCUAGGGUAGCAAACGGG